rnacentral:rRNA from 1 species
GACGAACGCUGGCGGCGUGCCUAAUACAUGCAAGUCGAACGCAUUUUCUUUCACCGUAGCUUGCUACACCGAAAGAAAAUGAGCGGCGAACGGGUGAGUAACACGUGGGUAACCUGCCCAUCAGCGGGGGAUAACACUUGGAAACAGGUGCUAAUACCGCAUAAUUCCAUUUACCGCAUGUUAGAUGGAUGAAAGGCGCUUUUGCGUCACUGAUGGAUGGACCCGCGGUGCAUUAGCUAGUUGGUGGGGUAACGGCCUACCAAGGCUGCGAUGCAUAGCCGACCUGAGAGGGUGAUCGGCCACACUGGGACUGAGACACGGCCCAGACUCCUACGGGAGGCAGCAGUAGGGAAUCUUCGGCAAUGGACGCAAGUCUGACCGAGCAACGCCGCGUGAGUGAAGAAGGUUUUCGGAUCGUAAAACUCUGUUGUUAGAGAAGAACAAGGAUGAGAGUGGAAAGUUCAUCCCUUGACGGUAUCUAACCAGAAAGCCACGGCUAACUACGUG